UACACGCUGUGACUAGCAUAUCAAUAAGCGGAGGAAAAGAAACUAACAAGGAUUCCCCUAGUAACGGCGAGUGAAGCGGGAAGAGCUCAAAUUUGAAAUCUUAAAGGGUUUCCCUUUACGAAUUGUAGUCUUAAAGAAGUGUUUUCUGUUGAGGUUUUGGUAAAAGUUCUUUGGAAUAGGACAUCAUAGAGGGUGAGAAUCCCGUAUUUGAUCUUUACUUUCAACUUUGUGAUACACUUUCAAAGAGUCGGAUUGUUUGGGAAUGCAGUCCAAAAUGGGUGGUAAAUUUCAUCUAAAGCUAAAUAUUGGCGAGAGACCGAUAGCGAACAAGUACCGUGAGGGAAAGAUGAAAAGAACUUUGAAAAGAGAGUUAAACAGUACGUGAAAUUGUCAAAAGGGAAGCGUUUGACACCAGUGUUGUUUUUCUGAAAAUCAAUUAAAGAACUGUUUAUGCUAAGCUGUUUAGACUUUAGUCAGCUAACUGUUUAGUUUUGAGCUUUUCUUUAAUGCACUUUUCAGUUAACAAGUCAACAUCAAUUUCUUUUGCUGUAAAAAAGCUUGAGGAAGGUGGCUUGAGAUUCGUCUUAAGUGUUUAUAGCCUCUUGCCUAUGCAGUCGGAGAGAUUGAGGUCUGCAGCGUAGAUCCUUCGGGGCUAAAUGCAUUUGUGCUAAGUUAUAGCAUUUUAUAGACAACUUGUUGACUAUGAUUUGUCUUGUAGCUUACUCGCUUAUGUUAUUUUACCUACGCUUAGGAUGUUGAAGAUGUAGCACAUCAU
rnacentral:rRNA from 1 species